AUCCCGCAGCCAAUCGCAUACAAAGUAGGCUAUAUUUAGACCAGGAUUGCAAGCCGUGAUUCACCUAGGAUGGGACAAUUUCUCAAUACCCUGUGUUGCCUUUUGUUACGUAGAAUAGUAGUACUUAUAGAGGUGAUCUGCAAUUAAAGUCAGUUUUCACGGAGGCUGGUCACGGACAUUGGUGUUGCUUUCAGUGUCGGGGAGAUGCUUCCACUCGUGUAUUUGUUUGGGUUCCACAAUGAACAUGCCGCUGUUACCUUCGUUUGUUUACUAGUCAUGUGAUGUGGCAGCUGCAGCCUGACAGCAUCAUUGUAUAUGCCACGGGUCUACACAUUUGUAUGUUUGUCCUUCAACAAGGGGCACCUAACAAUACAUAUAGAGAAUCGAAGCAGGACCUAUGUCAUGACGAGCGAGCACUGCCACCACUGGGCCACUCUACCGUCGCUUUAUGACAUACCAUGUCAGAUGAGGGGGGUUUUCAGCAGCAUUACAAGAUGCAUGGUACCAGUGAAGGUGGCUCUCUGCAUGAGACAGCCCGAGGACACAGGCCUGCACGUGCUUCUUUCACCAAUCAGGCAGCCUCCCCAUCAGCUGGCGCCCUCUGUCGGCCUGCUGCAGAACCCGGUGUUCUAGUGGACCUAAUGCCCUCCGUAAUGGUAAAUUACUAUAAAGCAUCUGAUCUAAGGGAUUACUGCUCUCCCUAAUGGCAAAUUACUACGAAGCCUGGACUUUAUAGCGCUGUAACAGUGUUGUAUGUCCUACUGGCUACGUCAGCCAUAGUGUGGGUCAUUCUCGGUGUUGUGCUGUGGUGGCCUUCAGUAUCAAACUGCAUACAGUGGAACCUCGUCAGGCCGGACAUCGUUAAUCCGAUAACUGUUCCGUAUAUGUGAAACUACAGAACUCUAAACAAUGGGUUAUUAAUCUGGAAAUAUUUCGCACGAGAUUUAAAAUUCAAGUGAAGCAUCAGAUAUUUAUAUCUGCAGAGAAGUACAUGUAUAUUCUGUAGUGGUUAUAUCAUGUUCAUAACAGCACGGUGCAGUGUGGCUAAUCGCUUAAUGCUAUUUUCCUGUACUAUGUGAUAUUUAUUUGUAUAUAGUUUUAUAUCGUU